UGUGGUAUAUUUUGCACUUUAGACUGCAAUUGGAAGUUGUUUUGAUCAUUCUGCGUAUUUCAUAUUGUGUGAAUGGAAUUUUUAGUUUGGAAUACAUUCGCUAACUGUUUAACGCUCAAAUGUGUGUUUAAUUAUACAUAAAUAUAAUUGGGCCUGAUUUAAUGCCAAAAAAUUUAUACAAGGAACUUUGUAGAUUUCAUAAUCUUUGCAAACAAGUGGAAAUAAUUUUUGUGAGAAAAACUGACAUAAGCAAAA
rnacentral:lncRNA from 1 species